UACGGGAGGCAGCAGUGGGGAAUAUUGCACAAUGGGCGAAAGCCUGAUGCAGCUAUGCCGCGUGUAUGAAGAAGGCCUUAGGGUUGUAAAGUACUUUCAUCGGGGAGGAAAAACAAAACUAAUAAUUUUAUUUCUUGACGUUACCCGAAAAAGAAGCACCGGCUAACUCCGUGCCAGCAGCCGCGGUAAUACGGAGGGUGCUAGCGUUAAUCAGAAUUACUGGGCGUAAAGAGCACGUAGGUGGUUUUUUUAAGUCAGAUGUGAAUCCCUGGGCUUAACCUGGAACUGCAUUUUGAAACUGAAAUACUAGAGUAUCGUAGAGGGAGGUAGAAUUCUAGGUGUAGCGGUGAAAUGCGUAGAUAUCUGGAGGAAUACCUGUGGCGAAAGCGGCCUCCUAAACGAAUACUGACACUGAGGUGCGAAAGCGUGGGGAGCGAAACAGGGAUUAGAUACCCGU
rnacentral:rRNA from 1 species